rnacentral:rRNA from 1 species
UACGUAGGUGGCAAGCGUUGUCCGGAUUUACUGGGCGUAAAGAGCGCGCAGGCGGUCGGAUAAGUCGAAUGUGAAAGCCCCUGGCUCAACCAGGGAGGGUCAUUCGAUACUGUUCGACUCGAAGGCAGGAGAGGGAAGUGGAAUUCCGGGUGUAGUGGUGAAAUGCGUAGAUAUCCGGAGGAACACCAGUGGCGAAGGCGACUUUCUGGCCUGUUCUUGACGCUGAGGCGCGAAAGCUAGGGGGGCAAACGGGGAUUAAGAAACCCCG